rnacentral:rRNA from 1 species
GAUGAACGCUGGCGGUAUGCCUAAUACAUGCAAGUCGUGCGGAAAGGCCCUUCGGGGUACUCGAGCGGCGGACGGCAGAGUAACGCGUAGGAACAUACCCCAAAGUGAGGGAUAACUGCUCGAAAGAGUAGCUAAUACCGCAUGUGAUCUUCGGAUUAAAGCCUUGUGCGCUUUGGGAAUGGCCUGCGUUCGAUUAGCUAGUUGGUGAGGUAAUUGCUUACCAAGGCGACGAUCAGUAGCUGGUUUGAGAGGAUGAUCAGCCACACUGGGACUGAGACACGGCCCAGACUCCUACGGGAGGCAGCAGUAGGGAAUUUUCCACAAUGGGGGCAACCCUGAUGGAGCAACGCCGCGUGCAGGAUGAAGGCCCUCGGGUCGUAAACUGCUUUUAUCUGUGACGAUUUUGACGGUAGCAGAUGAAUAAGGAUCGGCUAACUCUGUGCCAGCCGCCGCCGUAA